UCCGUCUCGAUGUCUAAACCAAUAGGAUU
rnacentral:sRNA from 1 species